AAUUUUCUUGUAUCAAAGCUCGUUAAAACUAGAUGGAUAUCCCUACAUAGCGGAUGGGACCCACGGUGAACGGUUCCAAGAGUCUUCAAAGAAGGAUAAAUACGAUUGCAUUGUAUGAACUAAUGGAUGCGAUCAUACCAGCACUAAUGCACCUAAUCCUAUCAGAACUACGUAGCUAAGCGUGCUUUUGUGAGAGUAGUACUAGGAUAAGUGACCUCCCUGGAAGUCCUCGUCUUGCAUUGCUCUUUUAUUUUUACUAGAUGAGUACCCGCACCACGUGCGGGCUUUCACUUUAUAUUUCGUA
rnacentral:sRNA from 1 species